rnacentral:rRNA from 1 species
ACUUGACCUCUAACCC